CUUUUAAAACUAAGAAAAGGUGAACUAGAUAGAGAGUUGAUGAGAUAAACUUUAUACUAAAGCCAUCACUUUAAAAUGAUACAAAAGAUUGUUUUGAAGAUGGUGGUCACAAGAGGACUCGAACCUCCGACCACUACCA
rnacentral:antisense_RNA from 1 species